UGGGGAAUAUUGGACAAUGGGCGCAAGCCUGAUCCAGCCAUGCCGCGUGAGUGAUGAAGGCCUUAGGGUUGUAAAGCUCUUUUAGCAGGGAAGAUAAUGACUGUACCUGCAGAAUAAGCUCCGGCUAACUUCGUGCCAGCAGCCGCGGUAAUACGAAGGGAGCUAGCGUUGUUCGGAAUCACUGGGCGUAAAGCGCACGUAGGCGGAUUUGUUAGUGAGGGGUGAAAUCCCGGGGCUCAACCUCGGAACUGCCUUUCAUACUGCAGAUCUCGAGUCCGAUAGAGGUGGGUGGAAUUCCUAGUGUAGAGGUGAAAUUCGUAGAUAUUAGGAAGAACACCGGUGGCGAAGGCGGCCCACUGGAUCGGUACUGACGCUGAGGUGCGAAAGCGUGGGGAGCAAACA
rnacentral:rRNA from 2 species